rnacentral:rRNA from 1 species
UACGUAGGGGGCAAGCGUUGUCCGGAUUAUUGGGCGUAAAGAGCGUGUAGGCGGUUUGGUAGGUCCGCUGUGAAAACUCGAGGCUCAACCUCGAGACGCCGGUGGAAACCAUCAGGCUAGAGUCCGGAAGAGGAGAGUGGAAUUCCUGGUGUAGCGGUGAAAUGCGCAGAUAUCAGGAAGAACACCCGUGGCUAAGGCGGCUCUCUAGUACGGUACUGACGCUGAGACGCGAAAGCGUGGGGAGCGAACAGG